UUCAGAGGAGUGCAAAGUGGUUAAGAUGAGAGCCAUCACCGAUAAGCUCAGGCAUGAUUCUCUGCCAGAAAACUGCGGAUUGCCACUUAGAGGUGAAGCGCGAGUUUCUAGUCCAGGUGAAGGAUUUUUAGAGUCUAAGUUCUCGUUCACAGGUGAAGGUAAAAUGGAUAGUAAAACUGAUGGUUAGGUUUGUCCACCAAUAGUAAUAAUGGAGGUACUGUACUUUAUUGUAAUGUUUAAGAGUUAACUGAGCCUGGAGGCAAGGUUCUUGAUUUACAAGUGAACCUAUAUUUCAACCUCCAUCUAAGGUCAUGAUCUUUGGGUCGUGAUUAGAAGAAGACAAGCAGGCCGAUAGAAGCAAGGAGAAUGAGUUUCCUCCCAUAGGUGAGUGGGCUCAGCUAAAGAGAUAGGGUCAGGAGCUCAGAGGAGGGCUGAUACUCAUUCACAACAAAAGCACCCAGUUGAGGUGGUUGGGGGAUUUGAUGAGGAUGACUCCUGGAUGCCUCUGGGAGUGUGCAAGUAGGAGGAUGCUCCAGGGUCAGGGGCUCGAAGUGGGGUGCUCCUCCUUCACAUCAAAAUGAGACGAUUGGGAUGGUUGAGGAAUUUAAUCAGGGUGCCUCCUGCGCUCCUUGGGGGGUGUCCAAAUAGGAGGAGGCCUUGAGGGAGACCCAGGGCUUGCUGGAGUGAAGGAAUAUCUUAGGUUUUCCCAGGGGAUGCUGGAAACUGUGGCUUUAAAGUUUCAAUUAAGCUCCAGCUUAAGUUUAGUCAGGAAGACUAUAACUGCCGUCACAGCUGUCAGUGUCUUUCCACGCCUACUCACCCUUCCUGCCGCCAUCACUCAGAGCAGCCAUUGGUUAAUCGGCCAUUCAUUGGUGUCUUCGCUUAUCCAGUAGCAUGGUAACACACACUCACAGCCAGCCUAUCCCUCUUAUGCACUCGUUUUGAAAUGACUCUCUUCUCUGCCUCUAGUUCUUUCUCGCCACUUGUUUGAGCACAGCACUCUCUACCUCCCCAUCUCCACCCGAUCCCAGCAGAAUCAACAGUGCCAUCAUUCAUUCAUCCGGUCCCAGUAGUCAUCAGCCACCACCAGCUUCAGGACUCCAUUGGGGGGAUUUUCCUUCCGUCGCACAGAUCAAGCUUCCUGUGAUCUCACAAAUCGCUCCAUUGAGCCUGAACGCCAAAGACUUUCUGUGAAUUAUCAUUCUAAUAAUUGUCAAAUAAAAUGUCUUAAUCUUUAAAUGUCUCUCCUGAUUGAAUUAUAUUUAUUGCAUUUCAUAUACCCAAAUUAAUGUCAGUGUACUAAAUUUAAACCCGAUCUUGAAUAUUGUCAUUCUUUUAUGGAAAUUAUUCAUUUAAAUCUUUAAUGGCCAAAGCAUAGCUUUGAAAAAAGCUAAAGAUACCUAGAGAAUCAUAGUAUCAAUCAAAGUAUUUCGACAAACAGCAACAUGUACAGACAGUAAUAUCUGAGGUGUGAAACAUACUUGCUUUCUUUCUUAUUACUGGUCAUGUGACUAAGAACAAAGGCAGUGAUCUGGGAACUCAUUGCUGAGAAACUAGUACAGAAGCUAGCCCCUUAGCUGCUGACAAACUCUCCCCUUACAUAAAGGGUAUUUGAUGUCUAUGAUAUGAUUACAAGUUUUUCCUCAUUGCUGUUCACACAAUGACUGUUUUGCCAAAAAGCUUUUUCAGGUAACGGUGCCUCAUAUGGCCUGAAACCUUGCCUGUGGCCACCGUCACCCCACUGUUCCUACCUAGUUAAAAAUCUAAAGGGGUAUCAAAAGCUAAUGAAAGACAUAAAAACGAAAUGAAAAAAAAAAAAAAGCAAAAUCAUAGAAACUUUAAUAAGGAGAACCCAAAGGGAAAGUUCAGC